GAAUUGUGGGAAUUAUAGAAAUGAUGAUGUUAAACCCAUGAAAUUUGAUUGAAUUGUGGGAAUGAUGAAAAUGUUGAUGUUAAACCCAUGAAAUUUGAUUGGAUUGUGGGAAUUAUAGAAAUGAUGAUGUUCAACCCUUGAAAUUUGAUUGAAUUAUGGGAAUGAUGAAAAUGUUGAUGUUAAACCCAUGAAAUUUGAUUGAGUUGUGGGAAUGAUGAAAAUGAUGAUGUUAAACCCAUGAAAUUU
rnacentral:lncRNA from 1 species